UCUGUUCUUUCGGCGUCGUGUUGUGCUCGUAUUUACGUCUUACACGGCCUAACCUAUAAAUGUCAGAUCGUUGCGUGCCUUUCGUCUGCUCUCAGUUUUUAUGAAUUCCAUUUAUAUUAAUUGCAGGUUGUUGUUUUUGUGUGGCGGUUGAAUCAGGGGUUCAAACAGGCGGUGGUCCAGGUUUUCGUGCUUUUAAAACGUGUGUGUGAGUAUGGGUUAUCCAUGAUUUCCGAGGAGUUUUUAUAUCGUUUUGUUAUUUGGGACAUGGAUCAGGAUGUAUUCUUUUUAAUUGUUCCUCUUGCGAUUCAGGCUUGGGGAUGUUUGUUUCAUUAUUAUUGUAUGCAACGUGAGUAUAUUUGCUGUUUGUGU